AGACAGGGUCUCAUUCUGUCGCUUAGGCUGGAGUGGCAAGGGAACUCAGCUCACUGCAACCUCCGCCUCCCAGGCUCACGUGAUUCUUGUGCCUCAGCCUCCUCAGCAGCUGCAACUACAGGCAUGUGGGUAGGCUUGAACUUCCUGACCCCCUUGUGACUGGGUGAGGCUUUGGGACUAAGUCUAACUAAUGAAUUGAGAUUGGAUGUGAUAUAUGUCACUUAGAGGCCAAAAUGUGUCUUGCUAAUAUGAGACCCUCCAUUAGUCUUCCUUCUGUUUUGGCAACUGGCAACAUCCCAGAUGGUGAUUUCACAUCAGUCUGGGUCCCAGAGGAUGGUGAAGUGGAAACAAAACUCUCAUCCAACCUUCGAUGGACACACAGUGUGAGUGAGGAAUAAACCUGCUGUUUUUAGGUCACUAGGAUUUUGGACUUGCUUGUUCCUGUGGCACAACUUAGCCUAUCCUGACUACUGCAGUGUGAUUACAAGUUUUUCUUGGGGAGAGAAUUUA
rnacentral:lncRNA from 10 species